AUGUCACCCCUGAUUCUUCCCUCGUGGGGAGUCCUGCACCUGUACUGCUUGUCUAGGGUUAGGAUGGCAGCACAACACCGCCGUGGAUUCGAGGUUGGAGCCCGAGCGUGGCCCGGACAUGCAAAAAGUGGAGCCCCGCAUGGAUCUUUCGUCGAUCUGGCUGAUAUGGUCAGGACAACCUCCCAAGUUAUAUCUGUACAACAGGAAUGCAAAUUGGAGGUCAAUGUUGAGGAAUAUGUUGAAUCAACUUGUAAACCCUACCUGAUGGAUGUCAUAUACUGCUGGUCAAAGCUAAAAGCUGCUGCUGAAGCUGUUGGGGAGGUCAACCUUGAGAGUUUGCCAGCUAAAAGCUGCUGA
rnacentral:rRNA from 1 species